GACGAACGCUGGCGGCGUGCCUAAUACAUGCAAGUAGGACGCAGUUGCGAACGGGUGAGUAACGCGUAGGUAACUACCUAUUAGAGGGGGAUAACUAUUGGAAACGAUAGCUAAUACCGCAUACUAGUAGAUGGACCUGCGUUGUAUUAGCUAGUAGGUAGGGUAAUGGCCUACCUAGGCAACGAUACAUAGCCGAACCGGGGAGGUGGUAGGGCAAACUGGGACUUGGGAACCGGCCAGGAUUCUACGGGGGGGAGCAGUAGGGGAACUUUCGCAAUGGGGGGAAACCCUGCCGGGCAAAGCCGGGUUGGGUGAGAAGGGUUUCCGGACGUAAAGCUCUGUUGGUUAGGAAGCGGUACCUAACCAGAAAGGGACGGCUAACUACGUGCCAGCAGCCGCGGUAAUUC
rnacentral:rRNA from 1 species